CCACCACCUGUAUUCCACUAUUGUCUCGGAGGUCGCUUUCUGACCGAGAUGAUGACUUCUCAGUCCCUGGAGUUGAAGAGUUGGAUAGUAGCAGCGUACAGGAUAAAAACAUUCAGGAAUUAGAUGCAAGUAUGUCAUCACUGGAUCUGGAUGUCAUCAGUGAAGAUGAACUUAACAACAUUAAAAACUCAAUUAUCGAGUGGGAAGAUGACACCUGGUGUCCUGAUAUGGAGACAAAGUCUGUGUCAUCAUUUGAAGAAGACGAAACAAAGGAAAUAGAUACAGACUAUGAUG